rnacentral:lncRNA from 1 species
GCUAGAUGUUUAAAAUUUUCAUUCAAAACACCUGACGUACCAAAACCCUAAUACCCAAGAACCCUUGACUAUAACAAACAAAGUAUAAUUAAAUUAAACUUAAAAUAAGAAGAAUACCUAUAGUGCUAAUCUAAAUUUGAUAGAGCUUCUACUAGGUAUCCAAGUGUUCGCCCUCCAACGAUGAUCCACAUGAAAAUCGAACCAGGGACAG